GUAACAUUCUCAUUCCAAAUAUCCUGUCUUUUCGUUUAGAUUGAGCACGGGAGAACUACUCUUCCUUAAUCGUAAUAUUUCUUUUCAAUCCGCCGAGCUGUGAAGCCCAUUAAAAGUGCACCAGUAAAACUUACCGCUUACGAAUAUGAGAGCAAAGUGGCGUAAGAAGCGUAUGCGAAGGCUAAAGCGUAAACGUAGGAAGAUGCGUGCGAGGUCUAAAUAAAAGGUACACUUGUGAGUGGUGAAAAAUUACAUUUUUAAAUCCUUACUUGUGUAUUCAAUAAAAAUUUAAAAACCCAA